UGCAUCUUAAAUCUCUCCGCACAGGGUCUGUGUGCUCUUCUCCCCCAGGAUGGUCGCUGGUGUAGAGGAAGGUCAGCGGCUGUCCCCUUUGGGUGGACACCCGCGUUGCUCCUGGGCUCACUCUGGAGCAGGCGAUACCGGCGCUUUGCCUCAGCCCGCACUGUGCGUCAGAGAGAGAUCUCUGUUCAGGCUGCCACUGCAGACGGGAUCCUGGGUCUCCUUGGCCAAUCCCAGGACCAAACUGGGAGGGUUGACCCUCGGCGUCACCCCAGAAGGCCUGGGGCUGGAGAGACCUGGCACCAGUGAAAGAUGCCUGUCAUGUGACAGCCCGAUACGCACAAACUGAGAGACUGUGGGAACUGGCCCUGUCGUCUCCUACAGAACAGUGUUUUUGGCUGUGACUAGGAGUGCACCCUCUGGCUGGGGUAACCAUCGAAGACUCAGUGAAGCUCUUGAGGUGUCCGCUCGCAGCCGUUACACACUCGCUGUUCAGCUACCGGGGAAGGAAGUGCUCAUUCACGGACGCCAGGCCUCGAGGGCUUCUGACCUGGGAAUCCACAUGGCCUGCGGCGUAGCUGGCCAGGCCCAGACUGGAAACGGGCAGACAAGGGCCUUCUCUGGCGGCUCUUUUCUCUCACCUCUCCCCAUCUCACCAGCGUGCGGUUCUGGCAAAGGGUAGCAACACAUUUAGAAGUUCCAUUUCUCUAAAUUAAAUAAAAACACAAUUAAAAUUUAGUAGGUGCUAAAA